rnacentral:rRNA from 1 species
UACGUAGGGGGCAAGCGUUGUCCGGAAUCAUUGGGCGUAAAGCGCGUGUAGGCGGUUCGGUAAGUCUGCUGUGAAAGUCAGGGGCUCAACCCUUGAAAGCCGGCCGAUACUGUCGGACUAGAGUCCGGAAGAGGCGAGUGGAAUUCCCGGUGUAGCGGUGAAAUGCGCAGAUAUCGGGAGGAACACCAAUGGCGAAGGCAGCUCGCUGGGACGGUACUGACGCUGAGGCGCGAAAGCGUGGGGAGCAAACAGG